GGUCCCAGAAAGCAGCCUUGUUUCUUCCACCAUGUUAGGACACGGUGAGAAGUCAACAUGAAAAACCAGAAAUCGGGCCCUCACCAGACCCUGAAUCUACUGGAGCCUUGAUCUUGAACUUCCCAGCCCCCAGAACUAAAACAUGAGUACACAGACUUCUCUAGCCAGCUUGAAAACAUGCUGGGCGAUUUAUCUGGCAACAACAUGUUGAAUGGAGUAUUCAUAUUAUUACCAUAAUCAGGUCACUUGGCUGAAGUUGGUACCAUGACGGAUUUGUAGCUGCUAUUAGAGAUGCCACUCAAGGCAGAGAAAAUGCAAUUCUUGACUUGAGAUGAAUCAGUUCCCCAAUUUAUACUUCAUUCGUGGAAACUGGGUCUUGGGCAACAUCUCAGCAAUUCCUUCCAAUCUGAAGUUCUCUCAUCUGCUGGUAACCGGUCCAUUCCUAUUGGCGUUCAAGCAAUCACAAACACAUCCUACUUUUGAGAAAUGUUCCAAAGGAGGAGUCAAAGCGGCUGUAAUCUUGAUUCGGUUUUAUGGGCAAUAGAAUUAUUUUACUGAUUCCUGGAAUCAUGGCUCCUAUACAUCUGCACUCUAUGAGCACUUUGGAAAUUAAAGGAUUGCCAGCUUUUCCACUUUGGGACAAAAAACAUUUGUGCUAAACAGCCGGAAAAAGCAAAUGCCAGUGUUAAUCAAACCAGCAUGGAAGUUAAUUAGAACCUCAAGAACAAGCGGAUGGGCUUAGCACCUUGGACACAUCAAUAUCUUGUUUCUAAAGAUGACCUCAAAAGAUUGCAUAACAAUAAAGCCCAGCACAAGUCAGAAAGUCAAUCUACUGAGGUCCUACAAUUCUCUUCAUUGACCUGAACAAACUCGACUCUGCUUUUCCCUUAAAUUUCUGUACAGAACCCUGACAACUCGUCUAUACUUUCUGUUAUUGAUUUCCCCCAUGCGCCUAAGUUUCUUAUGACUUCUGGAUUCUCCUUUUGGCUUUGCAGAACACCCCUACUUCCAAACUCUAGAGUAAAAUUCCUGUGAAGACUGAUACCUCAGAAGUGACUGCUUCACAGAUAGACAUCUAAUUUUUUAAUUGAGAUUUCAACUAUUUAACACUUACCGUGUUAACUCAUGACACUCUCCUCCAUUUGCUCAUAAACAACAAAACAAUAACAAAAAUGAAUGCUCACUGAGUGCUACAGAAUGCAAACUAUUAAAGAUACAGAAAUAAUGAAUAGGACUUCUGACCUUGAGUGGUUGGUAAAUAAAACAGAAAUAUAAAAAAUGAAAUAAAUAAUUAGGGUUACUGCCACUAGAGAAACAGAUCACAGGCUACAGAUUACUACUGGCCCUAUGAAGCAGGAAGACAGCACAGGUAUAGCAAGGGACCUUUUAUAUGUAGGUAGAACCUUAUUGUAGGUAAUGGUGAAAGCCAGUGAGCCCUUGCUCUGGGCUGCUCUGGUGAAUUGGCACUCCCUUCACUGUUUCGCUGACUAGACCUCAAGUACCCUCCAUGAGAGACUAGGGAGGCCUUGUGGAGCUGUGUCCUGUUUUCUACUUGCAUGAAUUAUUUGCAUUGCUUGUUUGUGAGUUUUAGCAAAAUAAACUGAAUGCAGACAAUGCCAUGUCCAAGUAAUCUUGCUUGGCAAUGUUUGAAUCUCUAUCAGACUUUGCUGCUGCUUACUUUAUUCCUUCUCCCAGUUCAACCCCAGAAAAGACACAGGAGUUAAAUGACAAAAAGUGUGGGUCUGAAGAACUAAAUCAAGACUGUUAGAAAACACUGGGCAGAGAGAGGUGGUUUUGUGCUUGUAUGGAGAGAAAUAGCUGGCAGGACUGAAAAGGUUUGCAUGCACAGCAUAGAAACUACUUAGGGGAAGAGCUUUCAAUUGUGCUCCUUUCUCGUAGUGUCACACUGGCUUGCAUAGAUGCUCACUUCCUCCUCAUUUUUGAUAGAAAAGCAGCUGUGACUGUGUAGGGCCACUGGGGUCAGUAGGGUGACAUCAGAGAGGCUUAAGACCACACAGACUGGAAGGCCAGCUUCUGAACAAGCCCUCAUCCCCUCCUCUCCUGCCACCACCCUCACCUAGCUGUGAAUAACCAAACAAUGAAGGCAGGCUCUGGGAGAGAGCUGUGUCACAGCAGAGGGUUCCCUGAAAACCAGUGCCAUCUGUUGGGUCGGGGGCAGAUGAUGGCUCCUCAGCCUCUGCCUCGUGGUAUAUCUCUCCCACCUUUAACCAGGCCAAGAGCAGCACAUGCUCUACCUUAUACACAUUACCAGCAAGAUAUUGCAUAUGCCCAGGGAAGAUGUGCUGGCAAAUGGUGUCAGACUUUUGUGAGGCAGAAUCAUGAAAUAGGAGGGUCAAUAAAAUAGGCAAGUCAGACUAGAUGAAUGAGACUUAAUUAAAAUAUCAAAUCAAGAAUUAAAAAUAAAAACACUGUCCUCUAAUACUAC
rnacentral:lncRNA from 1 species